rfam:Coprobacillus sp. CAG:698 genomic scaffold, scf60
UAAAAGGCUUUUUUCAAAGCCUUUAAGAUAGAUAUAAGGUUAUCUU